CACCAAUCAAGCCUAGCUUGGUAUUGGGUGUCGCGGGGUCCCCGCGCGCCUCAAAGUCUCUCCGGCUGAGCGGCUCGUCUCUAAGCGUUGUGGCAACUAUUCGCGACGGGACAGGCGGCGUGGCCGUUAAAUCUUUAUUCAA
rnacentral:misc_RNA from 1 species